UGUUGACAUGGAUUGUAAUCCAUAUUCCAAGCAACAUCAGUGAAAGUCAGUUCCAUUUUCCUGUUAAAAAUGAUCCGGAGUUCGACGUUUCCAAAUGUCAUGUCAACACGGCGUGCAUAUGUAAUAUAUGGGGGACUGAUCGCGGUUAGCGAAAGAACGUGGUUUGCCAAGAUCACAUCCAGAAUUAAUCGGACCAUCCAAACCGCUAAAUGUCUAUUUCUGGCUACAUUCUGGCGGUACAUUUGGCCACGUGUGAUGGCUCUAAGCAGGAUAUUGAGAAGACCAGAUAGACAAUCUACCCGAAAGACUUCAAGAGCUGACCCACAAAAGUGUCUGGAUGAAAAUAAUGACAGCCAUUGUUCA